rnacentral:rRNA from 1 species
CCUACGGGAGGCAGCAGUGAGGAAUAUUGGUCAAUGGACGAGAGUCUGAACCAGCCAAGUAGCGUGAAGGAUGACUGCCCUAUGGGUUGUAAACUUCUUUUAUAUGGGAAUAAAAUGUUCCACGUGUGGGAUUUUGUAUGUACCAUAUGAAUAAGGAUCGGCUAACUCCGUGCCAGCAGCCGCGGUAAUACGGAGGAUCCGAGCGUUAUCCGGAUUUAUUGGGUUUAAAGGGAGCGUAGGUGGAUUGUUAAGUCAGUUGUGAAAGUUUGCGGCUCAACCGUAAAAUUGCAGUUGAAACUGGCAGUCUGGAGUACAGUAGAGGUGGGCGGAAUUCGUGGUGUAGCGGUGAAAUGCUUAGAUAUCACGAAGAACUCCGAUUGCGAAGGCAGCUCACUGGACUGCAACUGACACUGAUGCUCGAAAGUGUGGGUAUCAAACAGGAUUAGAUACCCGAGUAGUC